rnacentral:rRNA from 1 species
UAUUGCACAAUGGGGGAAACCCUGAUGCAGCGACGCCCCGUGAGUGAAGAAGUAUUUCGGUAUGUAAAGCUCUAUCAGCAGGAACGAGACAAGACGGUACCUGACUAAGAAGCCCCGGCUAAAUACGUGCCAGCAGCCGCGGUAAUACGUAGGGGGCAAGCGUUAUCCGGAAUCACUGGGUGUAAAGGGAGCGUAGACGGCUGAGCAAGCCUGAAGUGAAAGGCGGGGGCCCAACCCCUGGACUGCUUUGGGAACUGUACGGCUGGAGUGCAGGAGAGGUAAGUGGAAUUCCUAGUGUAGCGGUGAAAUGCGUAGAUAUUAGGAGGAACACCAGUGGCGAAGGCGGCUUACUGGACUGUAACUGACGUUGAGGCUCGAAAGCGUGGGGAGCAAACAGG